rnacentral:lncRNA from 1 species
UAAUAGAUUACAAUAGCUAAUUCUAAGCCUAUUUUAAAUUCCUAUUUUUAUAAAGUUUUUAUAGUGUUCGCUUUAUCAUAACUUCUUCACGCGAAGUCAGAUUUAGACGUUCUCUAUAUUUUUGGAAUCGUAUGGACGUAUACUUUGAUUUAAGUUAUAAAGUAUGUAUGAAAGUUCAUAUUUAUAUUAGAAUUAUCAUGAAAUACAUAGUGAGUUUACUACAUUACUAGUUUAACAAAAUCACAUUGCAUGAUUGGUAUAAUCACAUGUGAUUGUUAUUGACCUACUUUUGACUAGUGUUACAUUCUCUCUCCCCCCCUGGUUGAUAAAAUUUAGUCCCGAAAUUUAUCUUGUACUAGAUUCCACUGCCGGAUCCUGGAUAGAUUCUCUGCUUCCUGUUACGAAUGCCCUGUCAUGGCCUAACUUCCUUGACUCCUUAACUUUGGACAUUCCUUCUUGAUAUGUCCAAUUUCACCACACUCAAAACACGCUCUUCCUCCAUUAUAGCCACUUCCAGUGUUUGUUCCUUGAUUUUCUGUUGUAAGUGCUUUGCUCCUGCAGAAAUUGGCGGUGUGUCCCUUUUUCUUGCAGUGAGUGCAUAUAAAGCAGUUACCUAGAUGGUGACGGCUACACUGAGUGCAUUUUGGGAGUUUUCCUUCAUACCGUCGUGGUUGUGUGGGUAUUGCUAUUGUGGCUGCAUAAUUAGUUGCCACAUCUUGUCUUUCCUCAUAUGAUUGUAUGAGAUUCUUCCCAUUAUAUUUGCGCUUGUUCGUUCUAGAUUCGAGAGACUCAGCUAUAAAUCCCACUUGGAUUUCUGUGGUGGUUAGCUGAUGAGCUAUACGUUUUGCACUGUCAUAUGUUGUAGGCUUCGAUGCGAUUACCAUUCCUUUGAUUUGCGAUGCUAGACCCCAUAUAUAUCGCUCGAUCUUCUUGUACUAUGGGGUUACAAGUGUCGGGCACAUCACCACAAGAUCAUUGAAUCUAGCAGUAUAAGCAUUUAUCUCGGAACCCUUCAUUGUUAGGUUCCACAGUUCUUGUUCCAACUUAUGUAUUUCCUCCCUGGGACAAUACUCCUCUACUAGCAUCCUCUUCAGCUCUUCCCAUUGCAUGGAAUUGGUGGCAUCAAUACCUGUUGUAUUCACAUGGCUGUUCCACAAUGUAAGUGUUGCAUCAGCGAAGGUACAUGCAGCAAAUCGUACCUUACAUUCGUCAGGACAGAAGCUUAUUUGAAAUACUGAUUCUGUCUUUUAAUUCCACUGGGUCAAGCUAACGACCCCUUCCGUUCCAUGGAAGCUCUUAGGUUUACAAUUCAUAAAAUCCUUGUAGGUACACAUUUUGGCAGUCCUUACAUUGCCUUCGUUUCUAACUCCUCAUCUUGUGACAUUAGCAAGAGCUGCAACGAUUCUCUGAGCUAUAAUUUCUUCAAGUUCUACUGAACUUAUUGGAAGGUUUGUUUCUGGUGGUGGUGGUUGCGGUUGUUGUUGUUCUGGUUCUGGUCGUUGGUUCAGGUUUAAACGAGCGCUACUUCUUCUAGGCAUUUUGUUUAGUUCCUAUACAUUUUGGAUCACCAAGUGUUUAGUCUAUCAAAUAUUACUCCCAAUUUAAAUAGUUCAUAUGAUCUGAUCAAAAUAAAAUAUAGUUGUACACCUACAUCUAGUUGUGUUAAGAUACAUAUGAACUUUAGUUGGAAUAUCUGAUCUAAAUCCUUGAGAUCAAAAACAUUCCUGGUAUUUAGGUGUAUUCUCAUCGCAGGUCUGAGUCUUCAUAUAUGACUCAAUAUUUGUUAUUUGUUGUAUUCAUGCUAUUUUAAUUAUUGUUCGUUACUUCAGGUCUAGCUGAUAAGGCACCGGCCAGUCAGGACAGUUGGUGGGCAGGAUCAUUUUAGCAUAUAACCGUUCUGAAAUCCAGCAACCCAAAUCGACAUGUCUAUCCUUGUCACCGCUCCCGUAAGUAGUCCUUUAGUAGUAUAAUUAAUAAUACUUUAUAUUGUAGGAUAAGGAUAUACCUAAACCUAACAGAUUAAUCCCUAAACUAUAGUCGUGCUUUCCUAAGAAAGUACUAAUUCACUAUAGUUAAUAGCUCUGAUACCAAUCUGUCAUACCCCGGCCGUCGGCGGAAACACCGGGCGGUGUAACGUCAUUUCUUGUAUCAUAGUUAUCAACUUACUGAAAACACAUGCAUUUUAAAAUACGUCAACAUAAAGUUGGUGAGUCCACAGGUUUUGACUCCAUAUAAAAAUAAUACAUUUUCCAAGUUCAAAAGUAUAGUUUUGAAAGAAUCAUUUUGACUCUCCAACGUUUAGCAUAUAUAUCCUAGGUAUAAAAGUUUACUUACCAAAUAACUAGUUUACCUAUAAGUCUCAUAUACUAUGAAUAUAAGUGUUUGUAAUUCCAUACAAAUGAAAGUUGUUACGUAUAAAUCUUAUUUCAAUUUUAUAUGAGUAAAACCGCUACGUAUAAAUCUAUUUCAAUUCUAUACGAGUAGGUAUGUUAGGUAUAUUUAUCUACUUAGCAUACAAGUAGUAUACCUACCAGUUUCUUUUACCUAGAGUAUAAGUGUUUGGGAAAAUUAUACUUAACAUUAAUACUUGUAUAACGGCAAAGUAUAAUGCUUCUAACAAUUUGCUACCAUGAGUCCGUAAUCGCGGCUAUGUGACUAGUUUCAAACCUCUGCUUGAUGCUACAAGUUCUGCAUCUUGAGAUAGGUUCCACACGCUUCAUCAACGUCGGAACAAUAAACAAACAAAAGGACAGUUCGUCACUCGCACACGGUUUUGUUGUAGCUAGCAACCACGAGUGGGGAUGUCAACCCGUAUCUUAUUCAUACAUGACUUCCUCGCUCACACGGGAUUAACGGUUACAGGUCAGAGGAUUUUCCCUAAGAUUUCCAAUCUUAGUUGAUGAAUACAAUUGCUCAUGUAGACUUAUCGAGUUCCGUUAGUUCUCGUAGUAAAAUCAUAUUCUUGUUUAAAACCCUAAGUUAUUAGACUAUGCUUUUAACAUUACUCCUAAUAUUUAUAAUACUUAGGUAGUACAACAGCUAUAAUUAGAAUUAAAACCAAGUUUUAUCUUGACAUAAAACCAAAAACAACAACAUAUAGCAUACUUGGUUUUAUCUUGACAUAAAACCAAUAAUUACAGCAUACUUAUCAAUUAACAUAUAGAACUUCCUGGUAUAACUCUAGAACUAUAUCGCACACAACAUAUAUAUAGACUCCUAAGUAUAACUCAAGAUCUACAUUAGUAUACUACUAUAACAAUAACAUGCUUACUACUUUACGAUAGUUGUAUACUUUCAGAUACGAAAUAACUAUAUCCUAGUUAUUAUAACUAUCUACGUUGAUACUAAUAUACUAUCAUAUAGACAUAAUAAUAACGUAUAUAUAAUAUUUAGCAUGCGUUUUCCCCCGAAAUAUUAGAAAGUGGGGCCGUGAAACUCACCUUAGUAACGUGAUUUUAUGUAAUCUAAGCAGAAACGGUCAGCGUACGAGGUCGUUGGGGCUCGGGAUGCAAGAAGGCUUCAGCAAGGGAGAGAGGAGAAAGAAGUUCAGGUGUAAGAAUGGUUGGGGUCGAUCUUGCUAUUUAUAGUAAGAUUUUUGGCCCUCACGACGUGAAAAACUCAUUUUUCACGUCGUGAUUUUGGAUCUUAUCUCUUCGUAGACUUGCCAUCCGUCUUCUAGCUUCCGAAGGUGGCAAAAUGAGCCCUCACGACGUGAAAAAUGCCUUGUUCACGUCGUGAGUUUAGAUCUUAUCCCCUCGUAGCCUCGUUACACCUUCUAGAUCCGAAAUAUGGCGGUUUGAUUCCUCACGUCGUGAUUUUUUAUGCUCACCUUGUGAGUUCAGUCAAAUUAGGAUUUUCUGACAGCGACAUCUUCGGAAGGCCAUAACUUUUGCAUACGAACUCCGUUUUUGACGUUCUUUAUAUGCAUGCAUAGGUAAUUACGAGUACUACAACUCUCUAAUAGAUUAAAAUAGCUAAUUCUAAGCCUAUUUCAAAUUCCUAUUUUUAUAAAGUUUUUAUAGUGUUUGCUUUAUCAUAACUUCUUCACGCGAAGUCAGAUUUAGACGUUCUCUAUAUUUUUGGAAUCGUAUGGACGUAACUUUGAUUUAAGUUAUAAAGUAUGUAUGAAAGUUCAUAUUUAUAUUAGAAUUAUCAUGAAAUACAUAGUGAGUUUACUACAUUACUAGUUUAACAAAAUCACAUUGCAUGAUUGGUAUAAUCACAUGUGAUUGUUAUUGACCUACUUUUGACUAGUGUUACACAAGGAAGUCUUCCUCGCUAAUUCCCAAAUCAACAAUUUCUAUAAUUUCUUUUUGAAUUGAGGUCAUGAUUUUGGUAUCCUUUUUGUAAAUGGUUAUUUCAUCUCCUUUUAUUCGAAUUCCUCCUUUCAUUGACCUCAGGAAGUUGGAUCAUAUUAUUAUUUC